GGGCCGGACUGAUGAUGAGGACAGGAAGACAAUAGAGUGGCAGCAGCGAUGGUCCUUAACAGGCAGGAGAGGGGACUUGAAGACCACACAGCAAGUUCCUGGCUGAGCUGGAACCAGAGCCCAAGGACGUGCCAGCACCCAGCUCUACCUACGAGCCUUCCACUUGGCCGGACUGCAGAAACUGGAAAGCAGACCACUGGGGCUUGCCUGGGUCCCUGCCUCGCUCUGUGAUAUUGGGGAGUAGCCAAGCGGUCCAUCUCUCCACCUGGAAAGCUGAGUGAAUCCCAGGGGUGUAUUCACCCAGCAAUUUGUGGCCACAGGGCUAGGGAGCGGUGGUUGCCAGGGGCCCUCAAGAAUGCCAGCGCAAGGACGAAGGGCACCAGUCGCUCCCCUCCGCCCUUGGCUAGCCACCAUCUCUCUCCAGCCACCACCCCACAACCCCCGCGCACCGUUCGCUCCGUGGCUCCGGUUCUUCGAUCCGGCCUCCAGGUCUUCGCUGACGCCUCGUCACUCGGGAGACGCGGCGAGCGGCUUGCCGUUGCCUUGGGAACCUCGCAGCAGCCCAGGCGCGCGGAGCACGACUCGGAGCGCAGGGCACUCGGCCUGCCCUGCUCGCAGAGUGGUCUUUGGUGUCUCAGAAAGAUAUCUGUCGCCAGCGGCGAAGGGAGGCCGCGUCGCAAGGUUUUGUCCUUCAGGCAAGCUCCUACUCAUCCUGCAAAACCCACUGGGGCAUCGUCUGAAGCCUUCCUAAUUGAAAUCCUCCUCUCCACUCUCUGCCAACCCAGGGUAACUACUCCCAUCUGUGCUAUAUUUAAUGCAUGCACAGACACCACCUCCCACAGUGCCCCAAGGGCUCCUCGAGGCUGCCUCUAGGUUCAACCUGUAAGGCACCGGCACACAGCUGGUAUUCUACAAAUGUGCUUGGAUCUGACAGUGGAGGAGAGGGUUGGCACGUUGGUUUCCUGCUGUGCAAAAACUGGACUACACUUGCCCUGCUGCAUGUCCCUCAAAAGAUAAUGGGGAGGGGGGUGCUUCCCGAACACCUGGGGCAGAACCGCAGGAAGAGAAUGGCUGCCCUCAGCCCAGGUUAGGGAAUGGACUUGACCGUGCCCCCGGAGUGGGACCUCGGGCUGCCUGGGAAGAGUUCUUUCCUUCCACAAGGGAGCAUCCACUCGUGUAUGCGUGUAAGGAAGCCACAGCGGCCCCUACUGACCUGCAGGGAGUCCCAGGAGCAGGGACCUAUAGCUCCCCAUUCUUUCCAGGGCCC